GUCUACAGCCAUGCCAGCCCAAUCUUGUCUGAUCUCAGAAGCAAAGCAGGGUCCAGCCUGGUUAGUACUUGGAUGGGAGACCACCUAGGAAGACCAGGUGCUGUAGGUG
rnacentral:rRNA from 1 species